CCAGCCGUUGGGUGCCUAGCGCACUUUGUGGCGAAGUUAACGCGAUAAGUCGACCGCCUGGGGAGUACGGCCGCAGGGUUAAAACUCAAAUGAAUUGACGGGGGCCCGCACAAGCGGUGGAGCAUGUGGUUUAAUUCGAUGCAACGCGAAGAACCUUACCUACCCUUGACAUCCUGCGAACCCGGAAGAGAUUCCGGGGUGCCUUCGGGAACGCAGAGACAGGUGCUGCAUGGCUGUCGUCAGCUCGUGUUGUGAAAUGUUGGGUUAAGUCCCGUAACGAGCGCAACCCUUGUCCUUAUUUGCCAGCGAGUAAUGUCGGGAACUCUAAGGAGACUGCCGGUGACAAACCGGAGGAAGGUGGGGACGACGUCAAGUCAUCAUGGCCCUUACGGGUAGGGCUACACACGUGCUACAAUGGCCGGUACAAAGGGCUGCGAGCUCGCGAGAGUCAGCGAAUCCCUUAAAGCCGGUCUCAGUCCGGAUCGGAGUCUGCAACUCGACUCCGUGAAGUCGGAAUCGCUAGUAAUCGUGAAUCAGAAUGUCACGGUGAAUACGUUCCCGGGCCUUGUACACACCGCCCGUCACACCAUGGGAGUGGACUGCACCAGAAGUGGUUAGCCUAACGCAAGAGGGCGAUCACCUCGGUGUGGUUCAUGACUGGGGUGAAGUCGUAACAAGGU
rnacentral:rRNA from 1 species